UACGGGAGUGGCAAGCGUUAUCCGGAAUUAUUGGGCGUAAAGCGUCCGCAGGCGGUCUUGUAAGUCUGUUGUUAAAGCGUGGAGCUUAACUCCAUUUCAGCAAUGGAAACUGUAAGACUAGAGUGUGGUAGGGGCAGAGGGAAUUCCCGGUGUAGCGGUGAAAUGCGUAGAUAUCGGGAAGAACACCAGUGGCGAAGGCGCUCUGCUGGGCCAUAACUGACGCUCAUGGACGAAAGCCAGGGGAGCGAAAGGGAUUAGAUACCCCUGUAGUCCUGGCCGUAAACGAUGAACACUAGGUGUCGGGGGAAUCGACCCCCUCGGUGUCGUAGCCAACGCGUUAAGUGUUCCGCCUGGGGAGUACGCACGCAAGUGUGAAACUCAAAGGAAUUGACGGGGGCCCGCACAAGCGGUGGAGUAUGUGGUUUAAUUCGAUGCAACGCGAAGAACCUUACCAGGGUUUGACAUCCUGCGAAUCUUUUGGAAACAGAAGAGUGCCUUCGGGAACGCAGUGACAGGUGGUGCAUGGCUGUCGUCAGCUCGUGUCGUGAGAUGUUGGGUUAAGUCCCGCAACGAGCGCAACCCACGUCGUUAGUUGCCAGCAUUUAGUUGGGCACUCUAGCGAGACCGCCGGUGAUAAACCGGAGGAAGGUGUGGAUGACGUCAAGUCAUCAUGCCCCUUACAUCCUGGGCUACACACGUACUACAAUGCUACGGACAAAGGGCCGCAAACUCGCGAGAGCUAGCAAAUCCCAUAAACCGUGGCUCAGUUCAGAUCGUAGGCUGCAACUCGCCUACGUGAAGGCGGAAUCGCUAGUAAUCGCAGGUCAGCAUACUGCGGUGAAUACGUUCCCGGGCCU
rnacentral:rRNA from 1 species